GGCGGGCCGGCCCCCAGCACCCCGGACGAGGUGCGCCGUACCCGGAACGACAAGACGGCGCGGA
rnacentral:ncRNA from 1 species